rnacentral:rRNA from 12 species
AAAUUGAAGAGUUUGAUCAUGGCUCAGAUUGAACGCUGGCGGCAGGCCUAACACAUGCAAGUCGAACGGUAACAGGAAGCAGCUUGCUGCUUCGCUGACGAGUGGCGGACGGGUGAGUAAUGUCUGGGAAACUGCCUGAUGGAGGGGGAUAACUACUGGAAA